UACGGAGGAUCCAAGCGUUAUCCGGAAUCAUUGGGUUUAAAGGGUCCGUAGGCGGUUUUGUAAGUCAGUGGUGAAAUCCGGCAGCUCAACUGUCGCACUGCCAUUGAUACUGCAGGACUUGAAUUAUUGUGAAGUAACUAGAAUAUGUAGUGUAGCGGUGAAAUGCUUAGAUAUUACAUGGAAUACCCAUUGCGAAGGCAGGUUACUAACAAUACAUUGACGCUGAUGGACGAAAGCGUGGGGAGCGAAC
rnacentral:rRNA from 1 species